CUUUUCAUUCCCGUUGUUAUGGAGGUAGGCUCUCUAGGAAUCUGGGAGUAGUAGCUGGGGGGCAAGAGCAAAUAAAGAGCUCGGGCUUCUGUGGUCUCUGGGGAGAUGUUCCCGGGAAGCCUGGCUAGAGGGCGGAGGGCAGCUGUUGAGAUGGCGUGGCUUUCGCGGCGGGCGCUGCGGCCCGGUGUUGGACAGCCUGGCAGGGCAGCGCGGGGCCGAAUCCGGCUGCCGUGGCUGAGGCUCAUGGAUCACUCUUUUGUGGUAGGGCCACAUCUGCCAGAGCCUGGAGUCUGCGAAGGCCGGGACCCGGUUCCCCGGCCCACCGUGGGGGGGGGUGUGCAAACCCGAGAGAACUGGGUUGCAAAUUCGUGAAGAAUCAGCAUCAUGUUUGGCAGCUGAGUAUUGGAGCCAGGAGCCUGCCAUGAGGUUUUGAGAACAGAGUGCUGUUUUAGAGCUGGCAGCAGCAUCUCAGCCCAAGAGAAGGUAAGCCUUGAGCUGGCCAAUGAUCCCCCCAACCCCAUAGUGGAAUGAAUAAACAGCUGA
rnacentral:antisense_RNA from 1 species